AGUUCAGUUGGUUAGAAUAUCCCGUCUUUGACGGGAGGGUCUCGAGUUCGAGUCUCGUCCAGA
rnacentral:tRNA from 1 species